AGGCAGCUGUUAUAUAAAGGCAAACAGAGAAGGAAGCAACACAGCAAGGUCUGUUCUGCUUUAAAAAGAAAUACAUAGAGGGAAUUAUUCUGCAAUAACAGGACCAGUACUUCAUAGACUCUGCAAUGAGGGCAAGUGGAGACAUGGAUUGUAAGACUCUUCUGAGACGCUGAGCUUCUUGCCUCCUCGAUCCACUGUGGGAUGAAAUCUGUAUCAGCACUUUGGCUUCUGGCAGAUCGAAGGAUGUGUCCCCUUCCUGCAUAAAGCAGUGUCUUAUUUAAAAGAUAAGUAAAUCUUUUGUGGGAGUGGCCAGGAUGUGAACAGAGACAUAGAGGAACUGCUUCUGCAAACUUUGAAAAAAGGCUGGCACAGGCAGGACCACACCAGGUAGAAAAUCAGAAACCAGAUGAUAAAAGUUCAAAAUUUACAUUUUAUUUUCCAUAAUUUAAAACAAAGGCCUAACGCAUUUUGUGUCUACUAGGCUGAAAUCCAUUCUGAUUGUGAUUGCCAUGGCGCCUAAAACUUCUAUUUGGCCAAAUUAAGUAUAUUUCUUACUCUGCCUCCAAAAAGAUCUACAAGCUCUAAGAGGAAGUCUGAUGGCUUUCAGAAACUUUUUACCAAGACACUCUCUCAAGAUUGACUGAGACGCUGCACCAGUGAUGUAACUAGACGUAACUGGGCCCCACAGCAUAUUAAUUUUAGGGCUCCCAACAUCUCUAGAAGACGUCUUUUUUUUUUACAAAUAGAUGUUGAGAUUGCUCCUGCAGUUAUAGGGUCUGCUUCCUCUGUAGUUACGUCCCUGGACUACACAGCUGAGGCAGUCGGAUGGGGAUCCUGUGGAGCCUAUGCUUCAGAUACUUACGUCAGCGAUCGUUGAAUCUAAAGCAACGCUCUCCACAAAAUUGCCUGACACCACCGCAACAGUCACUACUAAAGAACUCAGCAGACUGAAAGGUGAAACGCUAAAGCGUUUCUAUGCCGGAGCUAUAAUAUUAAAUAUGCUAUGGUAUGGAUGAACCAGUAUACAUUAAUUGAGUGAAUCAGACAUGGUGCGCACAUGUUCGCUGACGGGAGUUGGAAAUCAGGAGGGGGGCCCUAGUGGCUGCCAAGAGGUGCUUCCGGUCGCAGCCCAGGUGGGCCCCUCAUGUGUCAGUCCCACGCUGCAUAACAGCAUAGAAAUCAGUGCAGUCUGCAUCAAAACUGAUUAUAAUCAGCCCUGUAACAUCAGCUUCUAUGACAGAUGUGACCUCACUUUUUGAUUUCCCUCCCCCCUAAGCUUAGUUUCCCAAUAGCAGCCCAGAUCACAAUGAGCAUGUGCAGUGCCACUGACAAAAGAUAACCUAUAAAGAUCCAUAAUGGGGAGCUGCUGGGGGCAACUCUAAUGGUCUGUAUCAUUACUGUUAUAGGGCUGCUAAAUCUUUGAGCUGGUAUCAGAAUUUCAGAAUAUACUGUAUAAUAUAGCAUUUCUAUCUAGAUACUUUGUAGGCUUUUAGCAACAGCCAAAUUAUCAUCAAGGGCUUAAUGAGUACACAGUUGCCCAAUGUUAAUCCUUUUGAUUCACAGAGAUGAUGCAGGCAGUUCUGUUCUCCAGCAGCUGUAAAUCACCUGGGCCUCUGGGUAGCCUUUCAGCCUUUUUUUUAUUGCUUUUUUUUUUUUAAACAUACAUCCACAUCUUGAGUACAUCAGUUUUAACAUCAUCCAUUCAGUUAUCUGUUAAGCAAAAUUGACACAGAAUAACAAGUUCAAAGCAUAUGUCAAAAGUUUUCCUCAGAUUCAGUUUAAAUUGUAAGCCUUUACAUGGAAUGGAAGUUUUCAGAAUACCGGGAUGUUAACUAUCAUACAAAUAAACAAACAUAAUACCCAUCAA